AGCUUUGCGCAGUGGCAGUAUCGUAGCCAAUGAGGUUUAUCCGAGGCGCGAUUAUUGCUAAUUGAAAAAUGUUCUUAAAACAAAAUGUCCUGGGGCACCUGGGUGGCUCAGUGGGUUAAGCCGCUGCCUUCGGC